UACGUAGGCAGCAAGCGUUGUUCGGAAUUACUGGGCGUAAAGGGUGUGUAGGCGGUUCUUUAAGUUUGGGGUGAAAUCUCCCGGCUCAACUGGGAGGGUGCGCCGAAUACUGAGGGACUAGAGUACGGGAGAGGAAAGUGGAAUUCCUGGUGUAGCGGUGAAAUGCGUAGAUAUCAGGAGGAACACCGGUGGUGUAGACGGCUUUCUGGACCGACACUGACGCUGAGACACGAAAGCGUGGGUAGCAAACAGG
rnacentral:rRNA from 1 species